UAAGUAACCUGCCUCUUAGACGAGGAUAACAGUUGGAAACGACUGCUAAGACUGGAUAGGAAGUUUUAAGGCAUCUUGAAACUUUUAAAAGACCCGCAAGGGUAUGCUAAGAGAUGGGCUUGCGGCACAUUAGUUAGUUGGUAAGGUAACGGCUUACCAAGACUAUGAUGUGUAGCUGGACUGAGAGGUUGAACGGCCACAUUGGGAUUGAGAUACGGCCCAAACUCCUACGGGAGGCAGCAGUAAGGAAUUUUCGGCAAUGGAGGAAACUCUGACCGAGCAACGCCGCGUGAACGAUGAAAUAUUUAGGUAUGUAAAGUUCUUUUAUUAAAGAAGAAAAAAUGAUGGAAAAAUCAUUCUGACGGUAUUUAAUGAAUAAGCCCCGGCUAACUAUGUGCCAGCAGCUGCGGUAAUACAUGGGGGGCAAGCGUUAUCCGGAUUUAUUGGGCGUAAAGGGUGUGUAGGCGGUUUAAUAAGUCUAUGGUAUAAGUUCAACGCUUAACGUUGUGAUGCUAUGGAAACUGUUUGACUAGAGUUGGAUAGAGGCAAGUGGAAUUCCAUGUGUAGCGGUAAAAUGCGUAAAUAUAUGGAGGAACACCAGUAGCGAAGGCGGCUUGCUGGGUCUUAACUGACGCUGAGGCACGAAAGCGUGGGGAGCAAACAGGAUUAGAUACCCUGGUAGUCCACGCCGUAAACGAUGAGUACUAAGUGUUGGGUUAAACCAGUGCUGAAGUUAACACAUUAAGUACUCCGCCUGAGUAGUACGUACGCAAGUAUGAAACUUAAAGGAAUUGACGGGACUCCGCACAAGCGGUGGAUCAUGUUGUUUAAUUCGAAGAUACACGAAAAACCUUACCAGGUCUUGACAUACUCUGCAAAGCUAUAGAAAUAUAGUGGAGGUUAUCAGGGAUACAGGUGGUGCAUGGUUGUCGUCAGCUCGUGUCGUGAGAUGUUGGGUUAAGUCCCGCAACGAGCGCAACCCUUAUCGCUAGUUACCAUCAUUUAGUUGGGCACUUUAGUGAGACUGCCAAUGAUAAAUUGGAGGAAGGUGGGGAUUACGUCAAAUCAUCAUGCCCCUUAUGACCUGGGCUACAAACGUGAUACAAUGGCUGUUACAAAGAGUAGCUGAAGCGUGAGUUUUUAGCAAAUCUCAAAAAAACAGUCUCAGUUCGGAUUGAAGUCUGCAACUCGACUUCAUGAAGUCGGAAUCGCUAGUAAUCGCGAAUCAGCAUGUCGUGGUGAAUACGUUCUCGGGGUUUGUACACACCGCCCGUCAAACCAUGAAAGUUGACAAUACUCGAAACCAGUAGCCUAACUUGCAAAAGAGGGAACUGUCUAAGGUAGGGUCGAUGAUUGGGGUUAAGUCGUAACAAGGUAUCCCUACCGGAAGGUGGGGAUGGAUCACCUCCUUUCUA
rnacentral:rRNA from 1 species